rnacentral:misc_RNA from 1 species
AAAUGCGAUAAGUAAUGUGAAUUGCAGAAUUCAGUGAAUCAUCGAAUCUUUGAACGCACCUUGCGCUCCUUGGUAUUCCUUGGAGCAUGCCUGUUUGAGUAUCAUGAAAUCUUCAAAGUAAAUCUUUUGUUAACUCAAUUGGUUUCUACUUUGAUAUUGGAGGUCUUUGCAGCUUCACACCUGCUCCUCUUUGUUCAUUAGCUGGAUCUCAGUGUUAUGCUUGGUUCCACUCGGCGUGAUAAGUUAUCUAUCGCUGAGGACACUGUAAAAGGUGGCCAAGGUAAAUGCAGAUGAACCGCUUCUAAUAGUCCAUUGACUUGGACAAUACUUUUAUGAUCUGAUCUCAAAUCAGGUAGGACUACCCGCUGAACUUAAGC